AAUCUUAACGAUGGAUGUCUUGGUUCCUACAGCGAUGAAGGCCGCAGCAAAGUGCGAUAAGCAAUGAAAAUUGCAAUGACUGUGAAUCAUCGGACCGCUGAAUGUAAACUACGCCAAUUCCUCUUUCGAGGAAUAGUGGCACUCCCUCAUAAGUAUAUUUUAUUAUAUUUAUAUUUGUAUAUAAAUAUUAUUUAGAAAGAAUUAUGUUUUUUCUAAUUUUUUCUGAAAAGAGGAAGUAUUUCUCAGCAUAACUUUUUCAAUUGUUUAACAAUAGAAAAAGAGAAAUAAUUGUAAUAGAUUAUUUCGCCGAAAAUUAAUAUUUUCAAAACCUAAAUUAUAAUUUAUAUUAUUAUUUGGUUUUAUUUAUGCUUGAAAUAUGGAUUUGAUGAAAAAAGGUAUUUAUAUUCGUAUAUAUAUAAUAAUAUUGUAUUAUGCUGGGAGGGCAUAUCCGCCGAAUUUAAGCAUAUAAUUAAGCGGAAGAAAAGAAAAUAACAAUGAUUCCUUUAGUAACGGCGAGUGAACAAGGAAAAGCUCAAAAGGAAAAUCCGCUUCAUGGUGAAAACUAUGGUGUGGAAUUGUCUGGUUGGGGAUUAUUCCUCCCUAUGCUUUUGUUGGGUACGAAAUGAGUAGGAAUACUAUUCCUUAGAGGGUGAAAGGCCCGUAGUUCCCUACAAUUAUAGGUGGAAUUUUCCCUGUAGAGUCGUGUUCUUUGAGAUUGGAGCACAAAUGCGUGUGAUACAUUUCACAUAAAGCUAAAUAUUUGUAGGAGACCGAUAGCAAACAAGUACCGUGAGGGAAAGAUGAAAUAGUACUCAGGAAUGAGGCUUAAAUAGUACCUGAAAUCGUUAAGAUGGAACGGAUUGAGAGAGAAAUAACGUAAGAUGGGAUUUAAUUUCUCUGCUCUUCGAGCACGUUUUAAUUCCUAUCUUAUUAAAAGGAGCAUCAGUGAAAUUUAACAUUUGCAUUAUAGUUAAACAGUUAUUUUUGCUCAUGCAAAGAUUUCCUAUCUGCUUCCGCUAAUAUGGUUGUAGAACUAACUAUUCUUGCUUGUUACAUUUACUGAGGAACCCAAUGGCGGGGCAAUGCCCCGCUCAUUUACGUUGCUUCUAAAAAGUACUUUCUUAACCCACUCGUCUUGAAACACGGACCAAGGAGUCUAACAAAUGUGCGAGCGUAUAUAUGUUUAACUAUAACAAAGAAUGAAAAUUCUUAAUGUACGCGUAAUUAAUGUAAUUAAUUGGUAGAAUUUUAGGGUGCUUCCCUAUUAUGCAUACCAUGCCGGUUGGCGAUUAUGCUUAAUUGAGUAUGAGUAUAUUUGUUAGGACCCGAGAGGCUUUGAACUAAGCGUGAUGAGAUUGAAGUCAGACGAAAGUCUGAUGGAAGAUCGAAUUGAUACUGACGUGCAAAUCGUUCAUUUCAAUCACGUUUAGGGGCGAAAGACUAAUCGAAAGGCCUAUUAGCUGGUUAUUUUCGAAAGAUCUCUCAGGAUCGCUGGAGUUGAUUAAUAUAGUUUUACGAGGUAGAGAUAAUGAUUAGAGGAAUCAGGGAAAUCGUUUUCCUUGACCUAUUCUCAAACUCCCAAUACGUAAUAAGGGAUUAAUAUCUUAACUGUAUUUUUCCCACCUAUAAAUAAAAUAACUCCAAGUGGGCCAUUUUUGGUAAGCAGAACUGGCGAUGAGGGAUGCUCCUAACGCUUGGAUAAGGUGCCUAAAUAUUCGCUCAUGAGAUCCCAUAAAAGGUGUUGGUUCAUAAUGACAGUAGGACGGUGGUCAUGGAAGUCGAAAUCCGCUAAGGAGUGUGUAACAACUCACCUACCGAAUGAACUAGCCCUGAAAAUGGAUGGCGCUAAAGCGGAUUACCGAUACCAAGCCAUAGAAAGAGAUUUAAAGUUUAAUUGUGGUUCGCCCCAAUUAAUCUUUUUUUAAACCUUUCUAUGAGUAGAAAAUCGUGGGGUUUGUGUAGAAGCAAUAUGCGUGAGCUAUUGUGGAACAUAUCCCUAGUGCAGAUCUUGGUGGAAGUAGCAAUUAUUCAAAUGAGAACUUUGAAGACUGAAGUGGAGAAGGGUUUCUUGUCAACUGUGAUUGUACAAGAGUUAGCCGCUCCUAAGGGAAAGCUGAAAUGCGUUAAAUGGGGUUUUGAUGCCGCGGGCAACCGCGGCCACUCUCCCCGUCCCGAAAGGGAAACAGGUUGAUAUUCCUGUGCCGAUAGUAAUUUGGGUAUUGGAGAUGGUAACAUAUAUAUAAAUGAACUCCUUUACGUAGGUCUUACACUCGGGGUGCGUUUUCUUUGCACUUUAACUUUAUAUCCGACCUCGGAAUCAAUUUAGUUGGAGAAGAGGUUUGAUGAAUCCAAUUCGGGGUAAUCUGUUAUGGGCGGAGCAAUCCGCCUUUUUCAUGAUUCCCCGUUUUGAGUAAUAGUAAUUCAUUUUUAUGGAUUAUCCGAAGCCGUAAGGACUACCCUUGAAAAAAGGAGGGAACAGCAAGAGGUGAGUUUACUUGCU